AUUGAACGCUGGCGGCAGGCUUAACACAUGCAAGUCGAACGAGUGGCGGACGGGUGAGUAAUGCUUGGGAAUCUAGCUUAUGUAGGGGGAUAACUACGGGAAACUGUAGCUAAUACCGCUUACCAUAGGAUGAGCCCAAGUGGGAUUAGGUAGUUGGUGAGGUAAAGGCUCACCAAGCCGACGAUCUCUAGCUGGUCUGAUAGGAUGAUCAGCGACACUGGGACUGAGACACGGCCUAGACGCCUACGGGAGGCAGCAGUGGGGAAUAUUGCACAAUGGGCGCAAGCCGUAUGCAGCAAUGCCGGGUGUAUGAAGAAGGCCUUCGGGUUGUAAAGUACUUUCAGUCGGGAGGCGUUAACUACAGAAGAAGCACCGGCUAACUCCGUGCCAGCAGCCGCGGUAAUUC
rnacentral:rRNA from 1 species